CGCGCUUGAGAGAACUCGGGAGAAGGAACUCGGCAAAUUGACACCGUAACUUCGGAAGAAGGUGUGCCCUAUUAGUGUGAAGCGAACAGCGGAGCAUGAACGGGUUGCAAAGAAUCGGUGGCUGCGACUGUUUAUUAAAAACACAGCACUCUGCAAACACGAAAGUGGACGUAUAGGGUGUGACGCCUGCCCUGUGCUGGAAGAUUAAAUGAUGGGGUGCAAGCUCUUGAUUGAAGUCCCAGUAAACGGCGGCCGUAACUAUAACGGUCCUAAGGUAGCGAAAUUCCUUGUCGGGUAAGUUCCGACCUGCACGAAUGGCGUAACGAUGGCCACACUGUCUCCUCCCGAGACUCAGCGAAGUUGAAAUGUUUGUGAUGAUGCAAUCUCCCCGCGGAAAGACGGAAAGACCCCAUGAACCUUUACUGUAGCUUUGUAUUGGACUUUGAACAGAUCUGUGUAGGAUAGGUGGGAGGCUUUGAAGCAGGGUCGCUAGAUCUUGUGGAGCCAACGUUGAAAUACCACCCUGGUGUGUUUGAGGUUCUAACCUAGGUCCAUUAUCUGGAUCGGGGACCGUGCAUGGUAGGCAGUUUGACUGGGGCGGUCUCCUCCCAAAGCGUAACGGAGGAGUUCGAAGGUACGCUAGUUACGGUCGGACAUCGUGACGAUAGUGCAAUGGCAUAAGCGUGCUUAACUGCGAGACUGACAAGUCAAGCAGAUGCGAAAGCAGGACAUAGUGAUCCGGUGGUUCUGUAUGGAAGGGCCAUCGCUCAACGGAUAAAAGGUACUCUGGGGAUAACAGGCUGAUACCGCCCAAGAGUUCAUAUCGACGGCGGUGUUUGGCACCUCGAUGUCGGCUCAUCUCAUCCUGGGGCUGUAGCCGGUCCCAAGGGUAUGGCUGUUCGCCAUUUAAAGAGGUACGUGAGCUGGGUUUAAAACGUCGUGAGACAGUUUGGUCCCUAUCUUCCGUGGGCGCUGCAGAUUUGAGGAAGCCUGCUCCUAGUACGAGAGGACCGGAGUGGACACACCUCUGGUGUAUCGGUUGUCACGCCAGUGGCAUUGCCGAGUAGCUAUGUGUGGAAGAGAUAAACGCUGAAAGCAUCUAAGCGUGAAACUCGUUUCAAGAUGAGAUCUGCCGGGGCCUUGAGCCCCCUGAAGAGUCGUUCGAGACCAGGACGUUGAUAGGCAGGGUGUGGAAGCGCAGUAAUGCGUUAAGCUAACCUGUACUAAUUGCUCGUGUGGCUUGACCCC
rnacentral:rRNA from 1 species